GAUAAAAAACCAAUGUCUCUUCGGGGCUCCUUGGUGAUUCAUAAUAACUUAACGAAUCGCAUGGCCUUGUGCCGGCGAUGGUUCAUUCAAAUUUCUGCCCUAUCAACUUUCGAUGGUAGGAUAGUGGCCUACCAUGGUUUCAACGGGUAACGGGGAAUUAGGGUUCUAUUCCGGAGAGGGAGCCUGAGAAACGGCUACCACAUCCAAGGAAGGCAGCAGGCGCGCAAAUUACCCAAUCCCGACACGGGGAGGUAGUGACAAUAAAUACUGAUACAGGGCUCUUUUGAGUCUUGUAAUUGGAAUGAGUACAAUUUAAAUCCCUUAACGAGGAACAAUUGGAGGGCAAGUCUGGUGCCAGCAGCCGCGGUAAUUCCAGCUCCAAUAGCGUAUAUUAAAGUUGUUGCAGUUAAAAAGCUCGUAGUUGAACCUUGGGCCUGGCUGGCCGGUCCGCCUCACCGCGUGCACUGGGUCCGGCCGGGCCUUUCCUCCUGGGGAGCCGCAUGCCCUUCACUGGGUGUGUC
rnacentral:rRNA from 1 species